AGAGUUUGAUCCUGGCUCAGGAUGAACGCUAGCGGCAGGCCUAACACAUGCAAGUCGAGGGGUAACAGGGAAAAGCUUGCUUUUCCGCUGACGACCGGCGCACGGGUGCGUAACGCGUAUGCAACCUACCUUUUACAGGAGUAUAGCCCAGAGAAAUUUGGAUUAAUCCUCCAUAACAUCUUUUUCUUGCAUAGGAAAAAGAUUAAAGCUUCGGUGGUAAAAGAUGGGCAUGCGUUUUAUUAGCUAGUAGGUGAGGUAACGGCUCACCUAGGCCACGAUAAAUAGGGGCCCUGAGAGGGGGAUCCCCCACACUGGUACUGAGACACGGACCAGACUCCUACGGGAGGCAGCAGUGAGGAAUAUUGGACAAUGGACGAAAGUCUGAUCCAGCCAUGCCGCGUGCAGGAUGACGGCCCUAUGGGUUGUAAACUGCUUUUAUACAGGAAGAAACACUCCCACGUGUGGGGGCUUGACGGUACUGUACGAAUAAGGAUCGGCUAACUCCGUGCCAGCAGCCGCGGUAAUACGGAGGAUCCAAGCGUUAUCCGGAAUUAUUGGGUUUAAAGGGUCCGCAGGCGGUCUAUUAAGUCAGAGGUGAAAUCUUGCAGCUCAACUGUAAAAUUGCCUUUGAUACUGGUAGACUUGAGUCAUUGUGAAGUGGUUAGAAUGUGUGGUGUAGCGGUGAAAUGCAUAGAUAUCACACAGAAUACCAAUUGCGAAGGCAGAUCACUAACAAUGUACUGACGCUCAUGGACGAAAGCGUGGGGAGCGAACAGGAUUAGAUACCCUGGUAGUCCACGCCGUAAACGAUGGAUACUAACUGUUCGACCUUCGGGUUGAGUGGUUAAGCGAAAGUGAUAAGUAUCCCACCUGGGGAGUACGCUCGCAAGAGUGAAACUCAAGGAAUUGACGG
rnacentral:rRNA from 1 species